rnacentral:rRNA from 1 species
GUCUAUGGCCACCUACCCCAAACAAGCUCGAUCCCAUCUGAUCUUGGAAGCUAAGCAGGGUUGGGCCUGGUUAGUACUUGGAUGGGAGACCACCUAAGAAGACCGGGUGCUAUAGGCG